rnacentral:lncRNA from 1 species
GUUGGAGCGGAUCAAGGAGGCUCAGGUAGAGGGUCUCAAGGAGGAGAGACAAAAGUGUGAAAGGAUCGUGGGCCGAGUAGCCUCGUUUGAUUAUGAUAGUCGUGGUUUGCUGACGCUUCACGGGAGAGUGUGGGUACCGUACUGGGGUGGAGUACGGCAAGUGUUGAUGGAUGAGGCUCAUAAGUCUCGGUUUUCUAUCCACCCAGGGGCGACGAAGAUGUAUCGAGAUCUUCGACCUGAUUACUGGUGGCCCUGCAUGAAGCGGGACGUCGCCUGGUACGUCGAGAGAUGCCUGACCUGCCGGAAGGUCAAGGCGGAGCACCAGAGACCUCACGGCAGGAUGCAGCCGUUAGACAUUCCCGUGUGGAAAUGGGAGGACAUUACCAUGGAUUUUGUCACCAAGCUUCCCCGGACCGCAGGUGGAGUGGAUUCGAUAUGGGUAGUAGUGGAUUGGUUGACGAAGAGUGCCCAUUUUAUCCCGAUCCAGGAGAGUAUAUCGGCGGAGAAGUUAGCCGAUAUCUAUGUGCGUGAGAUUGUGGCACGUCAUGGAGUGCCGGUAUCGGUGGUGUCAGACCGAGAUGUCCGUUUCACAUCCAGAUUCUGGAAGCGGUUCCACGACGAGAUGGGUACUCGUCUCCAUUUCAGCACCGCUUUCCACCCUCAGACAGACGGGCAGAGCGAGAGGACGAUUCAGACUCUCGAGGACAUGCUAAGGGCGUGUGUCCUAGAUUUCGGUGGCAGUUGGGAUACGUAUCUUCCGUUAGCGGAAUUCUCGUAUAACAACAGUUAUCAUGCGAGCAUUGAUCGACCUCCCUUUGAGAUGCUGUAUGGGAGGAAGUGUAGGACCCCGAUUUGUUGGGGCGAGGUCGGUCAGCGGGUCAUCGGGAGCACGGAGGUGGUGCUCAAGACGACUGAGUUGAUCCAGCAGGUCCGUAGUAGACUGCAGACUGCUCAGAGUCGGCAGAAGAGCUACGCCGAUAGGAGGCGUUCGGACUUGGAGUUCCAGGUGGGGGAUAUGGUCCUUCUGAAGGUCUCACCUUGGAAGGGUGUCAUCAGGUUCCGGAAGAGGGGCAAGUUGGGCCCCAGAUUUAUUGGUCCUUUCAGGGUUUUGGCCCGGGUGGGUCGGGUUGCUUAUCGGUUAGAUCUUCCUGAGGAGCUUAGUCAGAUCCACAACACUUUCCAUGUGUCUCAGUUGAGGAAGUGUUUGGUGGAUGAGUCAGCAGUCGUUCCCCUAGAGGAUAUUCAGGUUGAUAGCAGCCUGAAUUAUAUUGAGAGGCCGGUCGCGAUUCUGGACCGGAAGACCAAGACCUUGAGGAACAAGGUAAUUCAGUUAGUGAAGGUGCAGUGGCAGCACCGGAAGGGGUCUGAGUGGACGUGGGAGGCUGAGGAGGAGAUGAGAGAGCACUACCCAGAGAUAUUUGCAGAUUCAGCCGUAGCAGACUUCGAGGACGAAGUCUGAGAUAAGUGGGGGAGAAUUGUAACGACCCGUCUCCGGUAUGAUAAUUCCUUGGUAUUUAUUUUGAAGUUUUGCAAGAGGGACUCGGCGAGUUCAUAGCCUGACUCGCCGAGUAGGGUCGGGAUUUCGAGCACGUGUUAGCUGGCGACUCGGCGAGUCCAUAUUCUGGACUCGGCGAGUCUGUCCGUCUGGGAGAAACCCUAAAUCCCCGGGUUGCCCACUAUUUAAGCCACCUUAUAGCCCCCAAUCUCGCCUCCUUCACCCUCAAAAGCUGUGAGAAAACCCUAAUUCGUUCUUGAGUGAUUCUAAGUGAUUUUGUGUGCUAUUGUGAAGGCUUGAAGAAGGAGAAGAAGAAAGGAGCAAGGAGAAGGAUUGUAGAGCAGAGAUUCAAGGGAAAGCAAGAGCUCUUUGAGGUAUUCUUCAGUUUUCCUUCUCUUUUAUGCCUUAAAACCCUUUCUAGAUCUUGUUAAUGCCUUUCUCAAAGCCUUAUGUUGAUAUGGAAGCUCUCUUAUGCCGAGAUAACCUUAGAUCUGUUCAUUUAGGAGUUGUAGAGCCCAGAUCUAUUGCCUUUAUGGAGCUAUUUUGCAUAUUAACCCUAGAUCUACCCCUUUUAAGCAUCUUUUAGCCUUUAUUCCCUUGUUCAUGUGUUUGUACACGUAAAGUUGGAAACUUUACGUGGUAAAUCAGCUUAUUGGACUCAGAUCUAUCAUUUGUAUGUAUUGGAUUCGAGCAGAAUCGAGUGUAGAAUAGUUGCAUGGCGGUGACUCGGCGAGUCGGAAGAACGACUCGGCGAGUCGAGUCGCGAGUCCCCGAUUUCUUCCUUUUGAGCGGUGUCGAGUGGGACCAGUGAGUAGUGGAGUGGACUCAGCGAGUUUGAGGGUAGACUCAGUAAUGGGGGGACUCGGCGAGUUGUUCAUACAACUCGGCGAGUCCAAGGCAAUCUUCUUAAGCUCAAGAACAACUCGUCGAGUUGUUCAUAGGACUCGGCGAGUCGGAUGAAGAUUGUCUGAAUUCUUGGAUGGGGAGAGUACCUGAAACCCAAAACUGAAACUGUUGACCUUGUCUGAGAGUUGACUUUGACCAAGGGUAAAAGAGUCAUUUUACCCAGUGCAGUGUUUAGUAUUUGAUUGAAUGUGUUUAUGGACUUGUAGCCGGGGAGAUACCGGAGCAGCAGCAGCUAGCUUCCAGAGCCAUACACUCAGCAGCCAGUUCACGAGGUGAGUUUCCCUUCAGUAGGAACGGGUCUACGGCCGCAAUGCCGUCCCGUGUAAUUAUCAGUAGUUCUGGUCUUGAGUCUGAUGCAGUAGCUAGAGUGCUUGAUGUCUUUGUGAUUCAAGCAUAUUCGUGUAUGUGUUCCGGACUUCGGUCCGAUGCAGUAUGCAGUAUGUGUGAUUAUAAUAGUUGUUAUGUGUUAUGCUAUGUCAUGAUCAGUCAGUUCCGGACUUCGGUCCGAUGCAGUUAGUUCCGGACUUCGGUCCGAUGCAGUUAGUUCCGGAUUUCGGUCCGAUGCAGUUAGUUCCGGACUCUGGUCCGAUGCAGGGGACAAGGUCCCAGUCAGUUCCGGACUUCGGUCCGAUGCAGCUAGUUCCAGACCUCGGUCUGAUGCAGUGGGCAAGGCCCAGUAUGUGAUUUAUAUGUAUUGUAUGGUAUGUGGUAGUUUGGGGGAGCUCACUAAGCUUCGUGCUUACAGUUUCAGUUUUGGUUUCAGGUACUUCCGCAUGUAGAGGGAAGAGCUCGGGAUGAUGGCAUCGCACACACCACAGCUUCAGCUUUUAUCCUGGGAGUUGAUUUGGUUCUUGAUUUUUAUAUGACAUGGAUAUGAUACAGUUUUCCGCACAGUGUUUUUAUUAUUAUUUUGAGAUACAUCAUGUAUGGUUUAUGAUAUGACACUCAGAUUAUGGUUUUUGGUUAUGUUGAAAAACGAAAUUUUUGGGUCGUAUUUUUGGGUCGUUUCAAGUUGGUAUCAGAGCCCUGGUUUGAGGGAUUCGGAUACACUUCCGGGUGUAUCUGAACUCAAACUAAGGGGAAAUAAAAAGAUUUUUAAAAGGAAAAUGUUUUCUAAAAGAAUUUUGAAAGCACUUAGAAAGAAAGAAAUUUUUAAACAAGAUAAGGGUGUGGUGCAUGCGAUCAGCCGAGCUCAAGUAAGUACUCCCAAAUUACCCAUACAAGUUAUUUGUUCAGUUUCAGUUUCAGUAGAACAGCAUGCUAGUAUAGGACUAAGGAUCUAGGAGGAUGCCUUAUGUGCCUGCUUUAUGUGUUACAGCUUUAUGAGUAUUGCAUGCUAGUAUUGAGUAGACAGCAGUAGGAUAGCCUGUUUAGGUUAUGCCUGAUAGUAUGAGCUUAGCACUGUAUGCUAGAUCAGUUUCUCGUUUUGAGAAUAGUUUUGCCUGAGUAUGUUUCCUUUAUCCGAAUGCUGCUUGCUUCGUGCUUUGUGGGAGUUCUGAGUGAUGGAAGUUAGCCAUUAGGUGAACACGUUACACCACAUGUGAUCAGGGUUGAAUAAUCCCAGAGUGCUGGAACUGGCCCUAUUGCGCAGCUCUUGUUUGAGUCCAACCGUUAUAGGGACGGGUCUUUUACUUGAAGGAUUAUCUGAUCUUCGUCACAUGUGAUGGUGUUCAGGUGGUGGUUAAUUAGCAUUAUAAGGAGACCUGCAGCAGCUGAGGACUAGUUGAGUUGAGUCUGAGGUUUCCCUGGGGCAAGCCUAGGAUGAGAGUAGCAGAGAUCAGUAGUAGUAGAAGUGACUUGGUGGAGUCAGGGCAGUUCUUGAAGAAAGUACGGAUAGAUGUGGAAGGUAGUAUGGGCCCGUACUACUGGAAGCAGAGGAUCCGUACUCGAAUCAAGAAAGGCUGAGACAAGACCAGGAAGCUAGUUGUAGUAUCAAUGAUCCCUCAAGAUAUUUCUGUUUUCUGAUGUAGUUGUGAUGUGUUUCAGAAUGGUGGUUUUGCGUUCGAGACCAGCAGCCGGCAGCGGAGGUGCCGGGGAGGGAUCAGGUUCAGGCUCGGGGGAUGAGCGCAUGGAUGAGCAGACCCGAGAGUUUCUUUCUUCGGAGAUUACGCGCAUCAUUAUAGAGCAGACUCCUGUGAUCUUCGGUUCGAUCAAGGAGGGGAUUCUAGAGCUGAUGGAUGAGAGAUUGGGCACCUUCCGUGCCGAGGUGGCGGCCAUGAUGGGGUCGCGCACCCUUACUUUCAGGGAGUUCAGGGCAUGUGGAGCUCCGGACUAUCAUGGGGCGCGAGACCCCAUAGCGAGCACCAGAUGGUUGGCGGAUGUGGCCAACGCUUUCCGUACUAGCAGAUGUCCCGAGGGGGACAAGGUCAGAUUGGCGUCCUGUCUUCUGAAGGACAGGGCACGAGAUUGGUGGGAGGAGGUCGGGCAUGCCAUUGGGGAUGAUGCAGCAUUGGACGCCAUGACCUGGGCUGAUUUCUCUACCAGGUUCAGGGCGGAGUUUGCACCGGUCAUUGAGGUGCAACAGCUAGCUAGGGAGUUUCAGGACCUCACCCAGACUACAGAGACAGUGGCGGAGAUCACCGCCAAGUUCAGGGAGAGGGCUCUUCUCGUUCCUCAGUAUGUAGCUGAUGAGGAAAUGAAGAAGGCCCGUUAUCAUGAGAUGUUGCGGAGCGAUAUCCGCCAGUUUGUGAGCCGGUCCAGCUGUAAAACGCUGGAAGAUAUGAUUGCUAGGGCUCGGGAGAGGGAGAUUGAUCUCGAGAUGGAGAAGAAGAGGAAACCGGAGGCGGUUUCGGGUUCAGGCGGUUCGGGCAAAAAGCCCAAGGUUUCGGAUCACAGAUCUAGGAGUCAGCAGAGCCACGGUCGAUGUGGCAAGUGUGGGAGAUUGCACGAGGGAGCGUGCAAGGCAGGGAGUUCCGGCUGCUACAAGUGCGGUCGGAUUGGGCAUUUGAGUAGGGAUUGUACGGCCCCUGCUACUGCCGUCGCAGCAUCAGAUCUGAUUUGCUUUCAGUGCAAUCAGAGGGGACAUAAAAAGUCCCAGUGUCCGAGUUUAGCUUCAGCAGGGAAGGUGGCUGCACCUGCCCCUGCUACCUUGAGGAUUACAGAUGGCCGGCAGGGCCGAGCUGAUGCGCCAGUGGCGAAGAGUAGGGCGUUUCAGAUGACAGCAGAGGAGGCGCGAGCGACUCCUGAUGUGGUGACGGGUAUGUAUCUUCCCUUUAUCUCUUUAUUAUUAUUGAUUGAAUAUUGCUUAUGAUUGUAUGUUUUAUUCAGGGUCGUUCUCUGUGAACGGCAUUUCUGCUUUGGUAUUAUUCGAUUCGGGGGCUACCCGAUCAUUCGUAUCACUUGCGCUUAGCAAGAGAUUCAGUAGAGCUCCAGGGGAGCUGGAUUGUCCAUUAGAGGUUGAGAUAGCGGAUGAUAGGACCGUGAGGGUCGGCAGAGUGCACAGAGGGUGUUCUCUUCAGUUAUUUGAUGAGCAGUUUUCAGUGGAUCUGGUACCUAUUCCCCUGCGAGGGAAUAAGGUUAUUGUGGGUAUGGAUUGGCUAAGCCCCAAUGGGGCGGUGAUUGAUUGUGAGCUUCAGCUAGUGAGGGUUCGCACUCCCAGUGGGGGAGAGUUGGUGAUUCAGGGCGAGAGGCCACAGCGAGGACCGACCUUUUGUUCCGCCGCAAGGGCGAGGCGCUAUGUUCAGCAGGGUUGCGCCGGUUUUGUAGCUUACGUUUUGGAUGCCCGGGAGAAGGGCAAGUCGACAGUUGAUGAUGUUCCUAUUGUUCGAGACUACCCGGACGUGUUUCCCGAGGAUUUGCCGGGGAUACCUCCUGAGAGACAGGUUGAGUUCAGGAUCGACCUCAUUCCUGGUGCGGCUCCGAUAGCCAAGGCACCGUAUCGACUAGCUCCCCCUGAGAUGCAGGAGUUGUCUACACAGCUGCAGGAGCUGUUAGACAAGGGUUUCAUUCGGCCGAGCAGUUCGCCUUGGGGAGCGCCGAUCCUGUUUGUGAGGAAGAAGGAUGGGUCGCAUCGUAUGUGUAUAGAUUAUCGGGAGUUGAAUAAGGUAACGGUGAAGAACCGUUACCCACUCCCGAGGAUAGAUGAUUUGUUUGAUCAGCUUCAGGGAGCGUCUUGGUUCUCCAAGAUCGAUCUACGCUCCGGAUAUCAUCAGAUGCGGGUUAGAGAUGAGGAUGUACAGAAGACUGCUUUCAGGACCAGGUAUGGUCAUUACGAGUUUGUGGUGAUGCCAUUUGGGCUCACCAAUGCUCCAGCCGCGUUCAUGGAUCUCAUGAACCGCGUGUGUAGGCCGAUGCUGGAUCGGUCAGUGAUAGUGUUCAUAGAUGACAUCUUGGUAUAUUCCAAGACGCAGGAGCAGCACGAGGAGCACCUGCGGGAGGUGCUGGAGGUUUUGAGGAGGGAGAGACUUUUCGCAAAGUUCUCCAAAUGUGAGUUCUGGUUGCGCGAGGUGCAGUUCCUUGGUCACCUCGUCAACCAGAAGGGUAUUCUGGUAGAUCCGGCCAAGAUAGAGGCCGUGAUGCAGUGGGAGGUCCCGAAGUCUCCAUCUGAGAUUCGGAGCUUCCUAGGGUUGGCAGGGUAUUAUCGGAGAUUUAUUCAGGAUUUCUCCAAGAUAGCAGUGCCGCUCACCCGACUGACCAAGAAGUCAGUGGUAUUUCGUUGGGGUCCGGAGCAGCAGACAGCAUUCGAGACCCUCAGGCAGAGAUUGUGCGAGGCUCCGAUCCUUACCUUGCCAGAGGGAGUAGAGGACUUUGUAGUCUAUUGUGAUGCCUCGAUCACAGGUUUGGGAGCAGUUCUGAUGCAGCGAGGCCAUGUGAUAGCUUAUGCCUCGAGACAGUUGAAGCCUCACGAGGCUAAUUAUCCUACCCAUGAUUUGGAGCUGGGGGCAGUUGUGUUUGCCCUCAAGAUUUGGAGGCAUUACCUUUAUGGGGUUCGUUGUACUAUUUACACGGAUCACAAGAGUUUGAGAUAUCUUAUGGAUCAGCCGAGUCUGAAUAUAAGGUAGAGGAGGUGGUUGGAUGUGCUAAAGGAUUACGACUGUGAGAUCCUAUACCAUCCAGGGAAGGCCAAUAUGGUGGCUGAUGCCCUGAGCCGCAAGGUGUCGGCGGCCCCUAUCAGGGAUCUAUGUUUGAGGAUGACAGUGAUCACUCCGUUGUUGGAGCGGAUCAAGGAGGCUCAGGUAGAGGGUCUCAAGGAGGAGAGACAGAAGUGUGAGAGGAUCGUGGGCCGAGUAGCCUCGUUUGAUUAUGAUAGUCGUGGUUUGCUGACGCUUCACGGGAGAGUGUGGGUACCGUACUGGGGUGGAGUACGGCAAGUGUUGAUGGAUGAGGCUCAUAAGUCUCGGUUUUCUAUCCACCCAGGGGCGACGAAGAUGUAUCGAGAUCUUCGACCUGAUUAUUGGUGGCCCUGCAUGAAGCGGGACGUCGCCUGGUACGUCGAGAGAUGCCUGACCUGCCGGAAGGUCAAGGCGGAGCACCAGAGACCUCACGGCAGGAUGCAGCCGUUAGACAUUCCCGUGUGGAAAUGGGAGGACAUUACCAUGGAUUUUGUCACCAAGCUUCCCCGGACCGCACGUGGAGUGGAUUCGAUAUGGGUAGUAGUGGAUCGGUUGACGAAGAGUGCCCAUUUUAUCCCGAUCCAGGAGAGUAUAUCGGCGGAGAAGUUAGCCGAUAUCUAUGUGCGAGAGAUUGUGGCACGUCAUGGAGUGCCGGUAUCGGUGGUGUCAGACCGAGAUGUCCGUUUCACAUCCAGGUUCUGGAAGCGGUUCCACGACGAGAUGGGUACUCGUCUCCAUUUCAGCACCGCUUUCCACCCUCAGACAGACGGGCAGAGCGAGAGGACGAUUCAGACUCUCGAGGACAUGCUUAGGGCAUGUGUUCUAGAUUUCGGUGGCAGUUGGGAUACGUAUCUUCCGUUAGCGGAAUUCUCGUAUAACAACAGUUAUCAUGCGAGCAUUGAUCGACCUCCCUUUGAGAUGCUGUAUGGGAGGAAGUGUAGGACCCCGAUUUGUUGGGGCGAGGUCGGUCAGCGGGUCAUCGGGAGCACGGAGGUGGUGCUCAAGACGACUGAGUUGAUCCAGCAGGUCCGUAGUAGACUGCAGACUGCUCAGAGUCGGCAGAAGAGCUACGCCGAUAGGAGGCGUUCGGACUUGGAGUUCCAGGUGGGGGAUAUGGUCCUUCUGAAGGUCUCACCUUGGAAGGGUGUCAUCAGGUUCCGGAAGAGGGGCAAGUUGGGCCCCAGAUUUAUUGGUCCUUUCAGGGUUUUGGCCCGGGUGGGUCGGGUUGCUUAUCGGUUAGAUCUUCCUGAGGAGCUUAGUCAGAUCCACAACACUUUCC